AUUGAACGCUGGCGGCAGGCCUAACACAUGCAAGUCGACCGGGUGGCGGACGGGUGAGUCAUGUCUGGAAAACUGCCUGAUGGAGGGGGAUAACUACGGGAACCGGUAGCUAAUACCGCAUAACAUGGGCUGUGCCCAGGUGGGAUUAGCUAGUAGGUGGGUUAAAGGCUCACCUAGGCGACGAUGCCUAGCUGGUCUGAGAGGAUGACCAGCCACACUGGAACUGAGACACGGUCCAGACUCCUACGGGAGGCAGCAGUGGGGAAUAUUGCACAAUGGGCGAAAGCCUGAUGCAGCCAUGCCGCGUGUAUGAAGAAGGCCUUCGGGUUGUAAAGUACUUUCAGCGGGGAGGCGUUACCUGCAGAAGAAGCACCGGCUAACUCCGUGCCAGCCGCCGCGGUAAUAC
rnacentral:rRNA from 1 species